GACGAACGCUGGCGGCGUGCUUAACACAUGCAAGUCGAGCGGUAAGGCCCUUUCGGGGUACGACGAGCGGCGAACGGGUGAGUAACACGUGGGUGACCUGCCCUCAGCUCUGGGAGUAAGCCUGGGAAACCGGGUCUAAUACUGGAUAUGACUCCAUGACGCAUGUUGGUGGGGUGGAAAGCCUUGUGCGGCUGAGGAUGGGCCCGCGGCCUAUCAGCUUGUUGGUGGGGUGAGGCCUACCAAGGCGACGACGGGUAGCCGGCCUGAGAGGGCGACCGGCCACACUGGGACUGAGACACGGCCCAGACUCCUACGGGGAGGCAGCAGUGGGGAAUCUUGCGCAA
rnacentral:rRNA from 1 species